UGGGACAGUAUGGCGGCGGAGCUGCGUGUGAGCACGAUACCGUGUCCAGAAGGGGUGAAGAGGCUCCCUUGGCUGGGGAGCUGAUUUACCCUCAGUGCAGCUGCACAAUGGUGAGGAACUGCAGCAUCUGUCUUGGAGGAAAUGGUCCUGCAGAAUCCUGGGGCUGCUGUUGCCCAAAGACAGCUUUGACCAGAGGGCAGCUGUUAUGCUGGGCUUCAGGCUGAAGGUCAAUUGCAGCUUCUGACAGGCCGCCCAGCAGAGCUGGUGACAGGGAGCGUCGGCAGGAGUCAAGGUUGGUUUGUGAAAGGGGAGGGAAUGGCACCACAAAUCAGGCACACUGGGUCUGGCACAGCACAGCUGUCUCCCGGGCAGGACCAGGCACUGGGACAAGCACCUGGGGCUUUUGGCUCCCAAGGUGUAACAGGGAAAAGAAAGUGGAGAGGCAGCCCGAUGAUAAAUGGGAAAAGUAAAAGUUACUCAGUGCUUUGAGACCAGAGGGGCGGGAAUUGUUUCAGAAUGGACUUUUUUAGGAAAUUAGUUGCAGCCUUGGUUUGUGGUUUCUCACAGAACUAGAAGGAAGAUUGUUCUGGAUUGAGUGUCAUAAAUGACUGCUGAUAAGUCAUGUGAAAUGCUGAUAAGUCAAUGUGAAAUAAGUCAUGUGAAAAUGCUCAGUGGUUGCUGCAGCCACACCUUGGGAUCUGAUCUACAGUUGACUGGAGGACAAAGUGGUUCCCUGCUUUCUUCUGUUCCAGAAUAAAAUAAGUUGUGGAAAA